rnacentral:rRNA from 1 species
AUUGAACGCUGGCGGCAGGCCUAACACAUGCAAGUCGAGCGGAUGAAGGGAGCUUGCUCAUGGAUUCAGCGGCGGACGGGUGAGUAAUGCCUAGGAAUCUGCCUGGUAGUGGGGGACAACGUUUCGAAAGGAACGCUAAUACCGCAUACGUCCUACGGGAGAAAGCAGGGGACCUUCGGGCCUUGCGCUAUCAGAUGAGCCUAGGUCGGAUUAGCUAGUUGGUGAGGUAUGGCUCACCAAGGCGACGAUCCGUAACUGGUCUGAGAGGAUGAUCAGUCACACUGGAACUGAGACACGGUCCAGACUCCUACGGGAGGCAGCAGUGGGGAAUAUUGGACAAUGGGCGAAAGCCUGAUCCAGCCAUGCCGCGUGUGUGAAGAAGGUCUUCGGAUUGUAAAGCACUUUAAGUUGGGAGGAAGGGUUGUAGAUUAAUACUCUGCAAUUUUGACGUUACCGACAGAAUAAGCACCGGCUAACUCUGUGCCAGCAGCCGCCGCAGUAA